rnacentral:rRNA from 1 species
CAUANCCCUGGUUUUGCAGUGGGUACGGGCUAACUAGAGUGCAGUAGGGGAGACUGGAAUUCCUGGUGUAGCGGUGGAAUGCGCAGAUAUCAGGAGGAACACCGAUGGCGAAGGCAGGUCUCUGGGCUGUAACUGACGCUGAGAAGCGAAAGCAUGGGGAGCGAACAGGAUUAGAUACCCUGGUAGUCCAUGCCGUAAACGUUGGGCACUAGGUGUGGGGGACAUUCCACGUUUUCCGCGCCGUAGCUAACGCAUUAAGUGCCCCGCCUGGGGAGUACGGCCGCAAGGCUAAAACUCAAAGAAAUUGACGGGGGCCCGCACAAGCGGCGGAGCAUGCGGAUUGAUUCGAUGCAACGCGAAGAACCUUACCAAGGCUUGACAUAUACUGGACUGCGUCAGAGAUGGCGUUUCCCUUCGGGGCUGGUAUACAGGUGGUGCAUGGUUGUCGUCAGCUCGUGUCGUGAGAUGUUGGGUUAAGUCCCGCAACGAGCGCAACCCUCGUUCUAUGUUGCCAGCACGUGAUGGUGGGGACUCAUAGGAGACUGCCGGGGUCAACUCGGAGGAAGGUGGGGAUGACGUCAAAUCAUCAUGCCCCUUAUGUCUUGGGCUUCACGCAUGCUACAAUGGCCGGUACAGAGGGUUGCGAUACUGUGAGGUGGAGCUAAUCCCUAAAAGCCGGUCUCAGUUCGGAUUGGGGUCUGCAACUCGACCCCAUGAAGUCGGAGUCGCUAGUAAUCGCAGAUCAGCAACGCUGCGGUGAAUACGUUCCCGGGCCUUGUACACACCGCCCGUCAAGUCACGAAAGUUGGUAACACCCGAAGCCGGUGGCCUAACCCUGGUGGGGGGAGCCGUCGAA